AUAUUCAAUGAUGACAAGUAUAUCGCCCCAGUCUGAAUCCAAUGAUCGAUUGAUUAGUCUUUCUGAAACG